rnacentral:rRNA from 1 species
UACGAAGGGGGCUAGCGUUGUUCGGAUUUACUGGGCGUAAAGCGCACGUAGGCGGUUCGUUAAGUCGGGGGUGAAAUCCUGGGGCUCAACCCCAGAACUGCCUUCGAUACUGGCGAUCUCGAGUCCGGAAGAGGUGAGUGGAACUGCGAGUGUAGAGGUGAAAUUCGUAGAUAUUCGCAAGAACACCAGUGGCGAAGGCGGCUCACUGGCCCGAUACUGACGCUGAGGUGCGAAAGCGUGGGGAGCAAACAGG